UACGAAGGGGGCUAGCGUUGCUCGGAAUUACUGGGCGUAAAGCGCACGUAGGCGGCUUUCUAAGUCGGGGGUGAAAUCCUGGAGCUCAACUCCAGAACUGCCUUUGAUACUGAGGAUCUUGAGUUCGGGAGAGGUGAGUGGAACUGCGAGUGUAGAGGUGAAAUUCGUAGAUAUUCGCAAGAACACCGGUGGCGAAGGCGGCUCACUGGCCCGAUACUGACGCUGAGGCACGAAAGCGUGGGGAGCAAACAGG
rnacentral:rRNA from 1 species